rnacentral:rRNA from 1 species
CUCGAUCAGUAUGUGCGUCAGA